AGAGUUUGAUCCUGGCUCAGGACGAACGCUGGCGGUAUGCUUAACACAUGCAAGUCGAACGCGACGGUUUUGACCAAUUCUUCGGAAGAAGUUAAAACUAGAAAGUGGCGAACGGGUGAGUAACGCGUGGGUAACCUACCCUGUAGAAAGGAAUAGCCUCGGGAAACUGGGAGUAAAGCCUUAUAUGAUCUUAGAGUCGCAUGGCUUCGAGAUGAAACACUCCGGUGCUACAGGAUGGACCCGCGUCCCAUUAGCUAGUUGGUGAGAUAACAGCCCACCAAGGCGACGAUGGGUAACCGGUCUGAGAGGGCGAACGGUCACACUGGAACUGAGACACGGUCCAGACUCCUACGGGAGGCAGCAGUGGGGAAUAUUGCGCAAUGGGGGCAACCCUGACGCAGCAAUACCGCGUGAGUGAAGAAGGUUUUCGGAUCGUAAAGCUCUGUUAUUGGGGAAGAAUAAUGACGGUACCCAAUGAGGAAGUCCCGGCUAACUACGUGCCAGCAGCCGCGGUAAU
rnacentral:rRNA from 1 species